AGGUCUUGAGAUACUUGGGGUUAAAUGUCCUUGGGGUUGAAUAGUACUAGGUUGGGUGACCUCGCGGGAAGUCCAAAUUCAAGAGCUU
rnacentral:rRNA from 1 species